GAGCAAUCUAGAAGCUGCUGAGCGCGGAGGGAGGAGGCAGCGCUGCCUGCGGCUGCACGCACCUGCUGCUGGGCGGCUCCAGGGUGGUCAGGGCCGCAGCCAGGGCUGGUCCAGCCGCUGUCAGUCCCGGGGAUUAGCGCGCUCCUGGGGGAGUUGGGCUGACCGCAGCGCUGGACCAAUUAGAGUCUCCAGACUUGCCUUGUUAGUAGUUUCUUCUAAUGGUUCAGCAGCAGUUUUGAUAUGAAUCCAGGAGAGAACUCAUCUGAGGAUAAUUGUGAAGAUUACCUGAGAUCCCAUAUGUGAAAGCCCCUUGUAUCUGCUAGAAUGUGAAUAAGGUGCUGGUUAGCUGGCCCUGACCACAUAGAUGAAGACAAUGAACUGAGCAACAAGAUAGAAGGAACCUGGGUCUCUGGACAACUUCAUGCAACCCAGCUGUCCUGGACCAUCCACCUACUUCUCAUGUUGCAUGAGAAAGAAACACACUUCUGUCUGGUUACAAAUUCUCUACUGGAGGAGUCUCUUACUACAUCAAUUUGCUCUACUCCCUAACUAAUACAACCACUUUACCUUCUCCGAAUUCAUCUUUACAACUUGCCUUGAGCAAAAACCAUCUGGAGCCAAGAUCUGAUCUACCUUUAGGAUAGAUAGAUCAGAUUUCAUAAUCGGCCACUUGUAAACCAGAUCCAGCCCACAGGCAUGCUUUGAUUUAUUCCUACGGUGGAUUUUUAAAAUUUUAGAUUUGUUGUCAACAUUUUGAGAAUUGAGAAGUUUCACCUAAAAAUCGAAAUGUUCAGCUUUUCUUGAGAAAUCAGAAGGUCUGGCAACCUUGGGCCACAUUCUUGCUUGGAAACAUUCGGCUGCUAGCCUGCUUCAGUUCAUCAUGGUCCAUGCCUGUCACACACAUUGUUGUACCCUUGGGUCUCGCUGAUUUGGGGCCCAAUGACCUGACUUCUAAGUCCCAGAACUUAUGUCUCUUUGCCUGAGGGCUUUCUCUGGUCCUCUGAAAACUGCCUAGCCAGAGGGGCUAGAGAGUGAAAGCACUACUACCUCCAAAAGACCCCAAACAACAACUGAUAGGAGUUGAUGUAUAAAUAUCCCAGUUUCCCAUUUUUAGAUGGGAUACCUGGAGGGCACCUUUCCCAGAGGUUGCGUCCCAGCUGUCCAGAGCGGGAACUCACUCCAUAAUGCCCCUUUUAUUGACUGGCUGCCUUCCCUUCUCUGUCCUGGUUCCCAGUUCCCUCCCAACAUGUCCCAGAGUCAUCUUCCAAAUAAACUACCUGCUCUCAAAUCCUACUCUCAGAACCUGCUUCUGGGGCAGCCUAAGUCACCAGCCCCUUUAGUCUUCCAUGUGAAAGUAAGCCUUUAUCACCAUGUACUGUCAUUUUUCUUCUGCUGAAGAAAUAUUUUUCUGUAUUUGAUUUUUAUUAAAAGUGAAAAGAAAAGAGAAAAAUCAUUCUGGAAGACAAUGUGUUUCAGAAAAAAAUAGGGGAGAGUCUGUCUUUGUGGGAGUAAAGGAUAUUCCUGCAUGUUUAACAUGCAAAUAUUGGCCUGCUUAGUUCACUGACAUUAUCUCCCUGACCCUCAGCCGUUCAUGUUUGUGAUCCCUGGUUUACAGCAUGAGAACUCUUGUUAAAAAUUCAGGAGUUAUUAGCCCCUGGCUUUGAAUGAGGCUCUGAGAUUAGCUAAGCAGCCACAGGGGAGCAUACUGAGGGAAGAGGCAGGGAGACACGUAAGUUGCAAGCGCCAAAGUUUGGAGGAAGGGCCAAGGCACUGGGACCAGGCAGGAGGGCUCACCAUGGCAUCAGGGUAGGGGGCCUGAGGAGAGCUGAAGCAUUU